rnacentral:rRNA from 1 species
AGCGAACGCUGGCGGCAGGCUUAACACAUGCAAGUCGAGCGGGCACUUCGGUGUCAGCGGCAGACGGGUGAGUAACACGUGGGAACGUACCCUUUGGUUCGGAAUAACGCUGGGAAACUAGCGCUAAUACCGGAUACGCCCUUUUGGGGAAAGGCUUGCUGCCGAAGGAUCGGCCCGCGUCUGAUUGGCUAGUUGGUGGGGUAAUGGCCUACCGAGGCGACGAUCAGUAGCUGGUCUGAGAGGAUGAUCAGCCACACUGGGACUGAGACACGGCCCAGACUCCUACGGGAGGCAGCAGUGGGGAAUAUUGGACAAUGGGCGCAAGCCUGAUCCAGCCAUGCCGCGUGAGUGAUGAAGGCCUUAGGGUUGUAAAGCUCUUUUGUCCGGGACGAUAAUGACGGUACCGGAAGAAUAAGCCCCGGCUAACUUCGUG